UACAGAGGGUGCAAGCGUUGUCCGGAAUCACUGGGCGUAAAGGGCGCGUAGGCGGCUUGAUAAGCGUGCGGUGAAAGCCCGGGGCUCAACCCCGGGUCGGCCGUGCGAACUGUCGAGCUGGAGCACUGUAGAGGCAGGUGGAAUUCCGGGUGUAGCGGUGGAAUGCGUAGAGAUCCGGAAGGACACCGGUGGCGAAGGCGGCCUGCUGGGCAGUGGCUGACGCUGAGGCGCGAAAGCGUGGGGAGCAAACAGG
rnacentral:rRNA from 1 species